rnacentral:rRNA from 1 species
UACAGAGGUGGCAAGCGUUGUUCGGAAUUACUGGGCGUAAAGGGCGCGUAGGCGGUUCGGUAAGUCCUGUGUGAAAUCCCUCGGCUCAACUGAGGAACUGCACGGGAGACUGCCGGGCUUGAGUUCGGGAGAGGGAAGCGGAAUUCCGGGUGUAGCGGUGAAAUGCGUAGAUAUCUGGAGGAACACCGGUGGCGAAGGCGGCAUCCUGGACCAUUACUGACGCUGAGUGAGCGAAAGCCAGGGGAGCAAACGGG